rnacentral:lncRNA from 1 species
AUGUUACUUACAAUAUUGAUCACAUGCUUUUGGUUCAACCAUCGCUCUGGAAUCGGUGGUGUCUCGGAGUUCCUUGGUUGGACAGAUCAACAGAGAGCCGCUGCAGCCAAGGAAGGCUGGGGAUACAGAUUAGUGUUUUCUGCACGCCUGAUUGGAUUAUUUCUUGUUGCCGAUGCAUUAUUUAUCGGUGCUCAGCAAGCUGGACGCUAUCUUCAGGAAAUCAGAACCCAUUGA